UACGUAGGGUGCGAGCGUUGUCCGGAAUUACUGGGCGUAAAGGGCUCGUAGGCGGCCAACUAAGUCAGACGUGAAAUCCCCAGGCUCAACCUGGGAACUGCGUCUGAUACUGGAUGGCUUGAAUCCGGGAGAGGGAUGCAGAAUUCCAGGUGUAGCGGUGAAAUGCGUAGAUAUCAGGAGGAACACCAAUGGCGAAGGCAGCUCGCUGGAACGGUACUGACGCUGAGGCGCGAAAGCGUGGGGAGCAAACAGG
rnacentral:rRNA from 1 species